rnacentral:rRNA from 1 species
AUUGAACGCUGGCGGAAUGCUUUACACAUGCAAGUCGAACGGUAGAGGGGGCAACCCCCUUGAGAGUGGCGAACGGGUGAGUAAUAUAUCGGAACGUGCCCAGUCGUGGGGAUAACGUAGCGAAAGUUACGCUAAUACCGCAUACGAUCUAAGGAUGAAAGCGGGGGAUCGCAAGACCUCGCGCGAUUGGAGCGGCCGAUAUCAGAUUAGGUAGUUGGUGAGGUAAAGGCUCACCAAGCCAACGAUCUGUAGCUGGUCUGAGAGGACGACCAGCCACACUGGAACUGAGACACGGUCCAGACUCCUACGGGAGGCAGCAGUGGGGGAAUUUUGGACAAUGGGACGCAAGUCUGAUCCAGCCAUUCCGCGUGCAGGAUGAACGGCCCUCGGGUUGUAAACUGCUUUUUGUACGGAACGAAAGGUUUCUAUAAUACUAGGAGCUC